CACAUAAAAAGACAUAUUUAUCAUUUUUAAUUUCUUUUACAUUUUUAUUUAAUUAAAUUUAUUUAAAAAUAAAUGAAGAUAAAUAUCAAUUGCACCCUUGUUCCUCUUCUCCAAAGCCUUUGUCGCUUCAUCUCUUCCUCCAACAUCACCGGUGACUUCCUCCGUUAUGGUGGUUUCCCCCUCUGCCGCCGAUGACUCAGAUAUCGAAUCUAGAAGAAGGAAGCAAUGAUAGUUGCUAUGGCGAUAAAAGAUGAGAUCGGAGGAUAGGAAGCAUGAUCGGAGAAGAAACUGGGAAAAGACAAAAUCGAAAAUAGCCACCACCGUUUGGGAAGAAGAAACAAUCACCACUGCCAUCUUCAUCUCCGACGUCAACCACCCUUUGAUUACAGAUAUUCAAUUUUGAUAAUGGAACUAAAAAUCAUAUUUUUGUUGCUGAUUUCUAGGUUUAAUAUCAUCACAAUCAAGAAACCGAACCCUUUGAUUUCAUCUAGGUGUUAUUUUCGUUCAUGGAAGCAGAUUUUUGUGGUUGAUUUCUAGGUUUAAUAUCAUAUAUGUGUGUAUGUGUAUGUGUAAGCUUAACUCGUGAAUGAUUAAGUAUGUGGUGGUAAUACCGAUGGAAGUUUAUUACAAGGGAGUACCCUUUUGGCUGCAUCUGAUUGGAAAUAAGGCAAGGUGG
rnacentral:lncRNA from 1 species